AGAGUUUGAUCAUGGCUCAGAUUGAACGCUGGCGGCAGGCCUAACACAUGCAAGUCGAGCGGUAACACAGAGGGCUUGCUCUCGGGUGACGAGCGGCGGACGGGUGAGUAAUGUCUGGGAAACUGCCUGAUGGAGGGGGAUAACUACUGGAAACGGUAGCUAAUACCGCAUAACGUCGCAAGACCAAAGUGGGGGACCUUCGGGCCUCAUGCCAUCAGAUGUGCCCAGAUGGGAUUAGCUAGUAGGUGGGGUAAUGGCUCACCUAGGCGACGAUCCCUAGCUGGUCUGAGAGGAUGACCAGCCACACUGGAACUGAGACACGGUCCAGACUCCUACGGGAGGCAGCAGUGGGGAAUAUUGCACAAUGGGCGCAAGCCUGAUGCAGCCAUGCCGCGUGUAUGAAGAAGGCCUUCGGGUUGUAAAGUACUUUCAGCGAGGAGGAAGGCAUUAAGGUUAAUAACCUUGGUGAUUGACGUUACUCGCAGAAGAAGCACCGGCUAACUCCGUGCCAGCAGCCGCGGUAAUACGGAGGGUGCAAGCGUUAAUCGGAAUUACUGGGCGUAAAGCGCACGCAGGCGGUCUGUCAAGUCGGAUGUGAAAUCCCCGGGCUCAACCUGGGAACUGCAUUCGAAACUGGCAGGCUAGAGUCUUGUAGAGGGGGGUAGAAUUCCAGGUGUAGCGGUGAAAUGCGUAGAGAUCUGGAGGAAUACCGGUGGCGAAGGCGGCCCCCUGGACAAAGACUGACGCUCAGGUGCGAAAGCGUGGGGAGCAAACAGGAUUAGAUACCCUGGUAGUCCACGCCGUAAACGAUGUCGACUUGGAGGUUGUGCCCUUGAGGCGUGGCUUCCGGAGCUAACGCGUUAAGUCGACCGCCUGGGGAGUACGGCCGCAAGGUUAAAACUCAAAUGAAUUGACGGGGGCCCGCACAAGCGGUGGAGCAUGUGGUUUAAUUCGAUGCAACGCGAAGAACCUUACCUACUCUUGACAUCCAGAGAACUUAGCAGAGAUGCUUUGGUGCCUUCGGGAACUCUGAGACAGGUGCUGCAUGGCUGUCGUCAGCUCGUGUUGUGAAAUGUUGGGUUAAGUCCCGCAACGAGCGCAACCCUUAUCCUUUGUUGCCAGCGAUUAGGUCGGGAACUCAAAGGAGACUGCCAGUGAUAAACUGGAGGAAGGUGGGGAUGACGUCAAGUCAUCAUGGCCCUUACGAGUAGGGCUACACACGUGCUACAAUGGCAUAUACAAAGAGAAGCGACCUCGCGAGAGCAAGCGGACCUCAUAAAGUAUGUCGUAGUCCGGAUUGGAGUCUGCAACUCGACUCCAUGAAGUCGGAAUCGCUAGUAAUCGUAGAUCAGAAUGCUACGGUGAAUACGUUCCCGGGCCUUGUACACACCGCCCGUCACACCAUGGGAGUGGGUUGCAAAAGAAGUAGGUAGCUUAACCUUCGGGAGGGCGCUUACCACUUUGUGAUUCAUGACUGGGGUGAAGUCGUAACAAGGUAACCGUAGGGGAACCUGCGGUUGGAUCACCU
rnacentral:rRNA from 1 species